ensembl:lncRNA
AUGUUGUGCCAUGCGGUCAGUUUAAUUCCCUUUACUGGCUUUAGGCUAGCUAUGGCAUCUCCAGGGUAUUUUGGUGACGGUCCUCCGAUGCGCGAGCGUGACCCGUACUUCACUGAGGUCAUCAGCCAGAGGAUGCGCGUGCCUGAGCGGCUGAGGUUCGGUCCAGCGCCUCACGCGCUCUCACCUGCAGACCAAAGACACGAAGAGCUCCCUGCUGCCUACAGCAUGCACAUCCCAGACAGACUGGCCUUAACAGAUGCUCCUGAUCUGAGUCCACGACCUCUCUUCACUAAGCACACUUCAUCAGUGUGGGACCUGCAGCAUGGGUCCUGGGACAGGGAGGCCUUCAUGAGGGAGCCUGUCCAGAGUCCACUGCGAAGGUCUUACAGCGACCAGGCCUUUGGUCGAACCCCACCUGGAACCCCCACACACUCCAGACAAACACUGCACUCCCAGUCUCCGUUUGGUUACCCAGAAACCCUUCCCUCUCAGGCUGUGGAGGUUCAACCUGAUCAAAGCAGGACAAGUGCCUCGCAGGAGUUCUGGCUCAGUCCUGAAGAGGACCCAGGUACUGCUGUCGAGUUCAUGGUGCUCCGCAGACAGGUGCUGAAGAUGAGCAGGAGGAUAGCAGGGCUGGAGAGACAGAACGCAGAGCACAGACAGACCGAGCUGCUGCUGUUCUCUCUGUUACUGUCUGCCUGUCUGAUCAACGGCUGGCUGUGGAUGCGCAGAUGACGGCUCACACUAUACAGACAGCACUAUAAGAGCAGCAGCGCUGUACAUCACUGCACAUUUUUCUAUAGAGAUUUACUCAAUUCGUUCUCAUAAAAAUGAUGGUCAGUGGAUGGUUUAGAAACCACUGUCAUUAGAAUGAGGCGUUAAUCUCUGAACCUUCCACUCAGAUGUGUCACGUGAUCACAGUAGGGACAUGGGCCACUUUGCAUUACAAGUGAUUUGAGCAUGUUUUUCACUGAUGAUGUCAUUCAGUAAUGCAGUCCCUCUGGCUCUUUUGAUCAGACUAGUAGCUAGUUUUUUGUAUUUGAUUUAUUCUGCAGAUUAAGUAAAUGCUGAGAUUUUCUGCAUGCUUUAGCAGUAUUUAUGAAAAUAUAAAUAUGAAUGUUUAUAUGUAUAUUUCAAUUUUUUCUUGCAGUUAGGCAUUCGAAUAGCCUUCAUCCUUUUUAACUCAUUUCCCCAGCCUGAUGUAUGCUGAAUAUUUAAAAUAAUAAAAGUUGUAAUUACUCUCA